rnacentral:tRNA from 1 species
GCCCGGGUGGCGGAAUUGGCAGACGCACUAGAUUCAGGUUCUAGCGCCUUCACCGGCGUGAAGGUUCGAGUCCUUUCCCGGGCACCA